rnacentral:rRNA from 1 species
AGUGAACGCUGGCGGUAGGCCUAACACAUGCAAGUCGAACGGCAGCACAGUAAGAGCUUGCUCUUACGGGUGGCGAGUGGCGGACGGGUGAGGAAUACAUCGGACUCUACUUUUUCGUGGGGGAUAACGUAGGGAAACUUACGCUAAUACCGCAUACGACCUACGGGUGAAAGCAGGGGAUCUUCGGACCUUGCGCGAUUGAAUGAGCCGAUGUCGGAUUAGCUAGUUGGCGGGGUAGAGGCCCACCCAGGCGUCGAUGCGUAGCUGGUCUGAGAGGGUGACAGGGAACAGUGGGACGGAGGUAGGGACCAGAGUGCUACGGGAGAGAGCGGUGGGGAAUAGUGGACAAUGGGAGGAAGACUGAUGAAGCAACGCCGGGUGGGGGAUGACGGCCUUCGGGGUGAAAACAGCUUUCGCGUGUGAAGAAGCGGGAGUGACGGGAAUGGGUAAAGAAGCACCGGCUAAAUAAGUG